AGCCAAAAACCACAAAAAACUGCAUCGCUAUCAACAAACUAUCGUUUCAGAGAACAGUUCGAGAUGCCUGAAAAAUGGUCCCGAAAAAACACGCAGAUGAUUCAUAAUUCCUGCUUCUAAAGGAUGAGGAGCAAAUUUGGUUACGGCUCUCACAUAUUCCAUCACGACCAACUGAGCUAGUAGGCCAGAGAAAAUCAUUAUGACAGGAAUCCAAAACAACCGAUUACCAAGCUUCUGGAUAUUUUCCCAACCGGUCAUGAAAGUGCGUGUAGUCGGUUGUGCUCGAAGACAUCUUGCCCCAUCUGAAGUCAAAGGAACCCUCAGAUCCUUCUCACCGGACUCGACCGGGCUAAUCCAACACUCCAGGCCAGCAUGAAGGGCUUCCCCAGGACAUGGGAAGACGUUAAGUGACUG